CGGGACACGUGGUAUCCUGUCUGAAUAUGGGGGGACCAUCCUCCAAGGCUAAAUACUCCUGACUGACCGAUAGUGAACCAGUACCGUGAGGGAAAGGCGAAAAGAACCCCGGCGAGGGGAGUGAAAAAGAACCUGAAACCGUGUACGUACAAGCAGUGGGAGCACGCUUAGGCGUGUGACUGCGUACCUUUUGUAUAAUGGGUCAGCGACUUAUAUUCUGUAGCAAGGUUAACCGAAUAGGGGAGCCGAAGGGAAACCGAGUCUUAACUGGGCGUUAAGUUGCAGGGUAUAGACCCGAAACCCGGUGAUCUAGCCAUGGGCAGGUUGAAGGUUGGGUAACACUAACUGGAGGACCGAACCGACUAAUGUUGAAAAAUUAGCGGAUGACUUGUGGCUGGGGGUGAAAGGCCAAUCAAACCGGGAGAUAGCUGGUUCUCCCCGAAAGCUAUUUAGGUAGCGCCUCGUGAAUUCAUCUCCGGGGGUAGAGCACUGUUUCGGCAAGGGGGUCAUCCCGACUUACCAACCCGAUGCAAACUGCGAAUACCGGAGAAUGUUAUCACGGGAGACACACGGCGGGUGCUAACGUCCGUCGUGAAGAGGGAAACAACCCAGACCGCCAGCUAAGGUCCCAAAGUCAUGGUUAAGUGGGAAACGAUGUGGGAAGGCCCAGACAGCCAGGAUGUUGGCUUAGAAGCAGCCAUCAUUUAAAGAAAGCGUAAUAGCUCACUGGUCGAGUCGGCCUGCGCGGAAGAUGUAACGGGGCUAAACCAUGCACCGAAGCUGCGGCAGCGACGCUGAUGCGUUGUUGG
rnacentral:rRNA from 1 species